rnacentral:rRNA from 1 species
CAGCAGCCGCGGUAAUACGUAGGGUGCGAGCGUUAAUCGGAAUUACUGGGCGUAAAGCGUGCGCAGGCGGCUUUGCAAGACAGAGGUGAAAUCCCCGGGCUCAACCUGGGAACUGCCUUUGUGACUGCAAGGCUAGAGUACGGCAGAGGGGGAUGGAAUUCCGCGUGUAGCAGUGAAAUGCGUAGAUAUGCGGAGGAACACCGAUGGCGAAGGCAAUCCCCUGGGCCUGUACUGACGCUCAUGCACGAAAGCGUGGGGAGCAAACAGGAUUAGAUACCCUGGUAGUCCACGCCCUAAACGAUGUCAACUGGUUGUUGGACGGCUUGCUGUUCAGUAACGAAGCUAACGCGUGAAGUUGACCGCCUGGGGAGUACGGCCGCAAGGUUGAAACUCAAAUAAAUUGACGG